AAUUUUACCUUCGAAUUUUAUCGAGUUAGCGCACGGCUCAAUCCCUUGAGCCAUUCCCCUAGGCUCGGGACUCAUCUCUUGGUCCCGAGCGUUUUUUU
rnacentral:sRNA from 1 species